rnacentral:misc_RNA from 1 species
GCCAGCCCAUGCACUAUCAUCUGUAGAAACAGCUGCCGAACCAUUGUCAGAGGGUCCAUCAAAGGAUAGCAUGUUAAAAAGAUCAGUAGCAUAAUCAACUUUUCGAGGAGAGACAGCUGGGGCAUCAUUUAUAGUCUGUUUCGUUGCUUCAGCUUGCUGUACAACUGGUUCAGGUUUUUGCUCCUGGCGUGGUUUGGGCGCUGGAGCAACUUGUUCAGGUCCUCUGGGAGGAACAGGAAGACUAACUCUCGAGGCAGGUAUACUCUCCUUCACACUAUGAGCUUGAACCCUUUUCCUUUCCUCAAACAAAUUUUCAGAAUGGCCUGAAUACCCUGACCCACUUCUUUCUGCAGGCCUAUGCCCAUGCAAAGAAGGCUUUUCCUCCUGUACUCGAGAUGGUGAUCUUGGUUUGCCAUCCUUAGGAACCCAUCUCUUGUCUUCAUAUUUUGCACGAAUAAAAUUCUCAAUCCCAACUCUAUCAUAAUUUGGUGGUAGCUCCGCCUCCCAAUAACUGUUUGCCUUCUCAUUCCCCAUUGAUUGUAUAAAAGUAACCUGCUCUGGAAGCCAAGUGUCCAAGGUAGCAGACCGUACCUUUGAUAUGUGAACACCAAGACUUCUGUGGAUCCCAGAACAUUGCAUACAUAUAAAAAUGCCUAAAUUAACACUAGCCCAUCGUGGUCCCUUAGCUUUGCAAUCAGCACACUCCCUAUUUUCUGGCAGCUUAAGAAGCCCUUCUAAUAUCUUUCUGUGGCGGGCGUUGAGCUCCUUGGUAACGUUGGCCUUCUCAUUCAUGGUGAAACAGGGAGAGGCGGAAGGAAGAGAGAGGAGGAGGAGGAAG